UGCAUUUUUCCUGGAUGUGUGGAUCUGACAUCAGCCACGUUCGUAUUGCCACGCUCAGCUGAGACACCAAGGUGCAGGAUUUCAGCUGGCAUGAAUCCAACCAGAUCAGCACUGCAGAGCCAGCUGAGCUUAAUUGAACUGUGCUGGAAAUCUAAAAGUGAUGAAGCUGCCAGGGAAACAACACAGGUUCCUGCAAUAGAGAAGACCCAGUGACAGGAAGAGCCUCAAAAUGUUUUGUUCUGCUCAAUUGCCAAGAACAGGAACUCCAUAAUGAAGGAGGUUAUCAUCCAGGAGUUAUACCCAGCUUGUUUUUAAACCUGCAAAGGGAAGAUACUGUGAACAAAGCAGUGAUGGCUCUUAGGUUCCUCCCCAGCCACCAGGAGAGGAGUGGGGCUGUUUUGGAUCACCUGAGCACAGAUAAUGGACAGAGCUCUUCACCUCACAUCUGUCACUGAGGUCUACAUGUGGUUGCUAAGCCUCCCUUAUCACAUGGAAGGGUGGAGACAGGGCAGCAGUUUUCUCUGGAAAAGAGACAGAUGAUCAUGCCAAGUUGUGGAGAAGUACUGGCAAUGGCUUCGCUGGGGAGAGAUUGAGACACCCUUUCGACAGGAGCCAACACCCAUUUUGAGAUGAAAAAUGUCCAUCC
rnacentral:lncRNA from 1 species